rnacentral:misc_RNA from 1 species
UCCGGUUUGUCACCGGCAGUCCCACUAGAGUGCCCGGCCGAACCGUUGGCAACUAGCAGCAAGGGUUGCGCUCGUUGCGGGACUUAACCCAACAUCUCACGACACGAGCUGACGACAGCCAUGCACCACCUGCACACCAACCACAAGGGAACUGAUAUCUCUAGGCACGUCCUGUGCAUGUCAAACCCAGGUAAGGUUCUUCGCGUUGCAUCGAAUUAAUCCACAUGCUCCGCCGCUUGUGCGGGCCCCCGUCAAUUUCUUUGAGUUUUAGCCUUGCGGCCGUACUCCCCAGGUGGGGUACUUAAUGCGUUAGCUACGGCACGGAUCCCAAGGAAGGAAACCCACACCUAGUACCCACCGUUUACGGCGUGGACUAC